AAUGUGGCCCAGUGGUCAACACGCCGGGCUAGUACCCUGAUGGUCGCUGCCUCGAGCCCG
rnacentral:tRNA from 11 species